rnacentral:rRNA from 1 species
AUGGAUACCGGCGGUUUUGAUCCGCGCCGGAUCCUCGAAGCGCUCAACGGGGAGUCGUGCCGCGGACCAGCGCCGGAGCAAUGGAGGGAUGGCGGUGAAGGACCGAUGGGCGGCGGCGGGCGAAGGAGGGCACUCGCAAGAUCCAGACGAGACCUCGCUCGAGGGCACGAGUACUCGUUCGAGACCAAUGCCGUUUUUUUUUCGCUGAUUAAUCUUCGACGUGAGCAGGAUGACUAUGAAGUUGUGAGGAAAGUUGGAAGGGGCAAAUACAGUGAAGUCUUUGAAGGUAUCAACGUCAACAAUAAUGAGAAAUGUGUUAUUAAGAUCCUGAAGCCUGUGAAGAAGAAGAAGAUCAAAAGAGAGAUCAAAAUACUACAGAAUCUCUGUGGAGGUCCAAAUAUUGUGAAGCUGCUUGAUAUUGUCAGGGAUCAGCAUUCAAAAACACCAAGCUUGAUCUUUGAAUACAUCAAUAACACAGAUUUCAAAGUGCUAUAUCCGACACUGACAGAUUAUGACAUUCGCUAUUAUAUCUAUGAGUUACUGAAGGCUUUGGAUUACUGCCAUUCACAAGGCAUUAUGCACCGAGAUGUGAAGCCUCACAAUGUUAUGAUAGAUCAUGAGCUUCGAAAACUCCGGUUAAUAGACUGGGGCCUUGCUGAAUUCUACCAUCCUGGAAAGGAGUAUAACGUUCGUGUUGCAUCAAGGUACUUCAAGGGACCUGAGCUUCUUGUUGACUUACAAGAUUACGACUACUCUUUGGACAUGUGGAGUCUUGGCUGCAUGUUUGCUGGAAUGAUAUUCCGCAAGGAACCAUUUUUCUAUGGCCAUGACAACCAUGAUCAACUUGUUAAAAUUGCAAAGGUACUUGGAACAGAUGGGCUAAAUGCUUAUUUGAACAAGUACAGAAUUGAGCUUGACCCUCAGCUUGAAGCCCUUGUUGGAAGGCACAGCAGAAAACCCUGGUCGAAGUUUAUCAAUGCAGACAACCAGCAUCUAGUAUCCCCUGAGGCCAUAGAUUUCCUUGAUAAGCUUCUGCAGUAUGAUCACCAGGAUAGGCUCACUGCACGUGAAGCUAUGGCACAUCCAUACUUCCUCCAGGUGAGGGCUGCCGAAAACAGCAGGACUCGUGUGCAAUAG